rnacentral:tRNA from 1 species
GCCAGGUCGCAGCAGAUGGGAGCUCUUCGCGCGGUUUCCUAAACCGUGUGCCGCAGGUUCGAAUCCUGCCGGGGGCACCA